AUUCAAAACACACCCACCACCGUCAAAAAUUCUCUCUCGCUCUAGAUCCCUCUUCCCCGAGUGUUCACUUCCAUUCGAAUUACAGAAGAGAGAGGGAGAGACUAGAGAGAGAGAGAGAGAUGGCAGACGAAGAAGAAGCAGAGCUAAGCGAGACGCAGAAGAAGGAGAUUGCGAAAUGGUUGCUCCUCAACUCUCCUCAUGGCGAAAUCCAAUACGUUUCCAAAGGAUUGGAAUUGCACAAGACCAUCCUCGGAGAGGCCUGAAUAGCUGCUGGAAAUUUCUCUAAAAUCAUAUCUUGGCUAUGGAAAGAUAUCGCUUCAACGCGAUAUUUACUUACAGAAAAAGUUGGAAAAGGAGAGAAGGAAAUGAGAAGGUUUAGGCAAGAUUAGAAGUGAAGAAGGUUGUGGGAGGCAAAAAAAGAUAAGGAUUUCGAAGAACUUAUUUUGGAAAUUGUGAGGUACUCCAACUUCUUGAGAAGCUGUUUUUUUUAAUGAUCUUAUACUUUUUCUCCUCCUAUUAUCUGCUUUUCUUCAUUUUGAAUUUUCGCCCCUGGCCAAAAACAUUAUUUCCUGUUGUGGCAAUUUAACUAGAUCAGACUUCCCUUGGCA